rnacentral:rRNA from 1 species
UACGGGAGGCAGCAGUGGGGAAUAUUGCACAAUGGGCGCAAGCCUGAUGCAGCCAUGCCGCGUGUAUGAAGAAGGCCUUCGGGUUGUAAAGUACUUUCAGUCGUGAGGAAGGUGUUAAGGUUAAUAACCUUAGCAAUUGACGUUAGCGACAGAAGAAGCACCGGCUAACUCCGUGCCAGCAGCCGCGGUAAUACGGAGGGUGCGAGCGUUAAUCGGAAUUACUGGGCGUAAAGGGCACGCAGGCGGUUAAUUAAGUUGGAUGUGAAAUCCCCGGGCUUAACCUGGGAAUGGCAUUCAAGACUGGUUAGCUAGAGUCUUGUAGAGGGGGUUAGAAUUCCAUGUGUAGCGGUGAAAUGCGUAGAGAUGUGGAGGAAUACCGGCGGCGAAGGCGGCCCCUGGACAAAGACUGACGCUCAUGUGCGAAAGCUGGGGAGCAAAC